rnacentral:misc_RNA from 1 species
AAAGUCGUAACAAGGUUUCCGUAGGUGAACCUGCGGAAGGAUCAUUACCGUGAAGGCGGCUUGGGUCACCAAGCCCGCUUUUAUCAUCCCAUGUGUACCAUUCCACCGUUGCUUCGGCGGGACGCUGGGCUCUGCCCACCGCCGGCCUAGGCCGGCGAGUGCCCGUCGAGGGACCAACAAAACCAGUUUACUUUGCAGUCUGAGUUUGAAAACAAAUGAACAAAAACUUUCAACAACGGAUCUCUUGGUUCCG